rnacentral:rRNA from 1 species
UACGAAGGGGGCUAGCGUUGCUCGGAAUCACUGGGCGUAAAGCGCACGUAGGCGGAUUGCUAAGUCAGGGGUGAAAUCCUGGAGCUCAACUCCAGAACUGCCCUUGAUACCGGCGGUCUCGAGUCCGGGAGAGGUGAGUGGAACUGCGAGUGUAGAGGUGAAAUUCGUAGAUAUUCGCAAGAACACCAGUGGCGAAGGCGGCUCACUGGCCCGGUACUGACGCUGAGGUGCGAAAGCGUGGGGAGCAAACAGG